rnacentral:rRNA from 1 species
GACGAACGCUGGCGGCGUGCUUAACACAUGCAAGUCGAACGGAAAGGCCCUGCUUUUGUGGGGUGCUCGAGUGGCGAACGCGUGAGUAACACGUGAGUAACCUGCCCUUGACUUUGGGAUAACUUCAGGGAACUCGGGCUAAUACCGGAUAGGAGCUCCUGCUGCAUGGUGGGGGUUGGAAAGUUUCGGCUGUUGGGGCUAGAUUCGCUGGUUAUCCGCUUGUUAGUGGGGUUGUUGCUUACCAAGGCUUUGACGGGUAGGCCGCCUGGGAGGGUGGACGGCGACAUUGGUACUGAGAUACGGCGCAGACUGCUACGGGAGGCAGCAGGGGGGAAUAUUGCACAAUGGGCGGAAGCCUGAUGCAGCAACGCUGCGUGCGGGAUGACGGCCUUCGGGUUGUAAACCGCUUUCGCCUGAGACGAAGCGUUAGUGACGGUAAUGGGUAAAGAAGCACCGGCUAACUACGUG